UGAAAUCGAAACAGUCGGUGUAGUUCCGCUUCCGGUUAUGUACAACUGUACAAACAAUCCCCCAUUUUUUAACUUAUGUCGCCCAACAGCUGUUUGCUGAUACAUAGAAUUAACCCCAAGGGCAGAAUUGUCAUACCAAAUUAUCAACAUUAAACCCAAAACACCCUCAUUCCAUACGGAGUGGUAAGUGGAGAUAGAUAAUCAGCUCUGCAUUCUGCUAAAGACAAAUACUACUCAUCUAUCAUCAGCUUCCAUUCCCUUCCCUAUCUCUCUCUCUUUCUCUCUAUCUUUCUCUCUCUCUUCUGUUCAUCACUGCUCCUGCAUGUCUCUACCCUACACACGACACUCGCCUCCAUGAUUUUCCAUCACCUUGCCUUCUAAAAAUCUACAAUCUUACACUGUUCUCGGUGUCCAAAUACACCAGCAACCAAAAAAAGAAGAAUAAUGGACAAUGAUAGAACCCCUUCCCACCAACAGCAACAACAAUUCCAGCAGUACUAGCAGCACAAGGGAGCUCUGUAUUUGCUUCACUUCUCGCCUCUCUUCUUCUUCUUCUUCCAUGAAGAUCUCUUCUAAGUCUAUCGUUAGUCCUGGUCGUGCCAGGGAACCUUCUCAAAUCUCGCUUUCUAACUCUCUUAGUAGAAGAUUGAGAACUAAUGGUAGCAUGAAAGGUGGCCAAGCUUCUCCGAUGUUCCAUACCAAUGGCAAGAAACGUGGCUGUUCCUUUGAAAAUCCUGAACCUUCUUCUCCAAAGGUUACCUGCAUUGGUCAGGUCAGGGUCAAGACCAAGAAACAGGGCAGGAAACUCAGGACAAGAUCUCAGUCUCAGAGAAGAGGUGAGGUAAGUUUUAGAAGAGUAGACCAAACCAAUAGCAGCAAUGCUAACAAUCUUGAACCUAGUACCCAUCAUGAUUUUGCCCACAAUGUAAACAAUCAGUUUCUCAAUCAGCAGCAGCAACAGGAGUGCUUGCCGCACAGGAAUCAGAGAUGGGUACAUUUGCCUUUGACCAUAUGCGAAGCUUUAAGGGCUUUUGGUGCUGAAUUUAACUGCUUUCUACCCUGCCGCUCCUCCUGUGCGGCAAGCGAGAAAGAAAAGGAGGAGAAGGCUGCAGGAUCGAGCAAUGGAAGCUCUUGUGGGGCCGCGGUAGCGCGGUGGCUGGUGGCGGUGCAAGAGGGAGAAGGAAAGGGAAGAGAGAUAGAGUUGGUGGUUGGCGAAGAUGAAGAAGAAGACAGGGAAGAGAGGACAGAGAGGAGGAGGAGCUACAUGAGGCAUGUUUUUGAGGAGAUUGAUUUCAAGGAAGAGAAACAUGGAGAAGGAAAUGAGGGUAUGCAAGAAGAGGAAGCAAGGUUGAGUAUUUGCAUCCCACCAAAGAAUGCUUUGUUGUUGAUGAGGUGCAGAUCUGACCCUGUGAGAAUGGCGGCGCUUGCUAAUAAAUUUUGGGAACCACCUGUUCCAAAUGAUGAGGAUGAUGAAGACGGUGAAGAUGAUAUAAAUGAGGAAGAAGGAAAAGAUAAUAUAGAGGUUGGAGCAGGUAGUGAUGAAGAGGGGCAAAGACCAGUACUUGAGCAAGAAAUGAAGCAUGAAGAGAAUUUGAUGAAUGAGAACCGGGUUUCUUGUGAAACCGUUGAAGAGCAUCAAAUGCAAGCACAUGAAGCAAUUCUAGUUGUUUUGGAAGGAAAAGAUGGAGAAGAUUGCCAAGAAACCAGCAUAGAUAUUGAUGAUGUGGAGGAAGGGAAUUUAGGGAAGCAAGAAGAGCAAACAGAAAUUCAAGUGAACCAGCGGCAAGAAAUUCUAUUGGAUGGUCCUGCUCCUUCACAAGAAGAAACUGAAGAUCCAGAAAACAUGAAGGAUAACGACAAUGAAGAGGAGUUGCUCCAAGAAAGUGAACAUAAUAAAGAGCAUGGGCUCAUCAGAGCAGAAGAAAAUGAGCAAGAAAGAUAUCUCAAUGAUGGUAGUGUGUCCAUACAUCAAGAACAAGAAUCUGAAGAAGCUGGCCAAGAUUUACUAGAAGAAGACCAAGAAGAAUCAAAACCAGCGGAGACUGCUCUAGCAUUAGCAGAAGAAUUUGCAAUACAAGAAACACAGGAAAAGAAAGAUUCAACCUUCAUGCGAGAUGAAGAAAGAAGAGAAGGAGAAGAAACAGUGUGCCGUGAAAGAUCCGAAACGGUCGACCCGAUAACCCAGGAGGGUAAAAUGGACUUGGGGUCAAAGGAGAGAGAAAGUCAGCCAAUUUUACCAGAUUGCUUGCUGUUAAUGAUGCGUGAGCCCAAGCUGUCAAUGGAGGUAUCCAAGGAGACCUGGGUCUGCAGUACGGAUUUCAUUAGAUGGCUACCAGAGCAAUCAAGGCCCGUCAAGAAAACAGACGGUGGAGAUGAGCCGAAGAAAAGAACCAGCAUUGACAUUAAUCAUCCGCCAGUGCACAAUAACUUGCAGCAGCCACCUAGGUCUUCAUGUUCAUAUCCGGCUAAGCCGCCGGCUCGAGCGGCUGGCGCAGAGUCUAUGUCCACAGCGAUUGAGCAGAAACUGGUAGGAACCAUGGUUUAUGAGCCGUUUGUUCUAACGCGCUGCAAGUCGGAGCCGAUGAGGUCAGCGGCUAAUCUUGCACCAGCACCAGAGGCUUGUUUUUGGAAGAAUCGGAAGCUGGAGCCGCAUCUUCCGGCUAGGAUUGGGGUUGGCGCGGCUGGGGUUGGGUACUAAGGAAUCUUGGCAAGGGAAGGUGGUAAGUUUAAUUGGUAAAAGUAAAACAGUAGUUUUGUAGUUUAUUUAUAGUGCUUUUACAGCUAUGGCAUCCUUGUAAAUCUUUGUUUUUUUAACGUUAUUUUUAUUAUUUUUUUAAUUAGUUGAAUAUUCAUUAUUGGGUGAAAAUAUUACUAACAUAGACAUGAUAUUUCUUAGGUGGUUAGUGUGAACAUGACCAUCAUCAAAUAGUCAAAUUUAUGUUGUUUUGUAAUGGCUGAUGUUACAA
rnacentral:misc_RNA from 1 species